rnacentral:rRNA from 1 species
UUGCACGCUGGCGGCAGGCCUAACACCUGCAAGUCGAACGGUAACAGGAAACAGCUUGCUGUUUCGCUGACGAGUGGCGGACGGGUGAGUAAUGUCUGGGAAACUGCCUGAUGGAGGGGGAUAACUACUGGAAACGGUAGCUAAUACCGCAUAACGUCGCAAGACCAAAGAGGGGGACCUUCGGGCCUCUUGCCAUCGGAUGUGCCCAGAUGGGAUUAGCUAGUAGGUGGGGUAACGGCUCACCUAGGCGACGAUCCCUAGCUGGUCUGAGAGGAUGACCAGCCACACUGGAACUGAGACACGGUCCAGACUCCUACGGGAGGCAGCAGUGGGGAAUAUUGCACAAUGGGCGCAAGCCUGAUGCAGCCAUGCCGCGUGUAUGAAGAAGGCCUUCGGGUUGUAAAGUACUUUCAGCGGGGAUGAAGGGAGUAAAGUUAAUACCUUUGCUCAUUGACGUUACCCGCAGAAGAAGCACCGGCUAACUCCGUG